GUGAGGAAUAUUGGUCAAUGGACGAGAGUCUGAACCAGCCAAGUAGCGUGAAGGAUGACUGCCCUAUGGGUUGUAAACUUCUUUUAUAAGGGAAUAAAGUGAGGGACGUGUCCCUUUUUGUAUGUACCUUAUGAAUAAGGAUCGGCUAACUCCGUGCCAGCAGCCGCGGUAAUACGGAGGAUCCAAGCGUUAUCCGGAUUUAUUGGGUUUAAAGGGAGCGUAGGUUGACAUAUAAGUCAGCUGUGAAAGUUUACGGCUCAACCGUGAAAUUGCAGUUGAUACUGUAUGUCUUGAGUGUACAAGAGGUGGGCGGAAUUCGUGGUGUAGCGGUGAAAUGCUUAGAUAUCACGAAGAACUCCAAUUGCGAAGGCAGCUCACUGGGGUACAACUGACACUGAGGCUCGAAAGUGUGGGUAUCAAACAGGAUUAGAAACCCGGGUAGUCC
rnacentral:rRNA from 1 species